GACAGAGGGUGCGAACGUUGUUCGGAAUUACUGGGCGUAAAGCGCGUGUAGGCGGCAGCGUGUGUCGGGCGUGAAAUCCCACGGCUCAACCGUGGAAGUGCACUCGAAACUGCGCAGCUAGAGUCCUGGAGAGGAAGGUGGAAUGCUUGGUGUAGAGGUGAAAUUCGUAGAUAUCAAGCGGAACACCGGUGGCGAAGGCGGGUCUCUGGACAGUUCCUGACGCUGAGGCACGAAGGCCAGGGGAGCAAACGGG
rnacentral:rRNA from 1 species